rnacentral:miRNA from 15 species
CUGGGAGAAGGCUGUUACUCU